UCCCCUUCAGUUAGUUAGAACUCAUUAAUAAUCUGCUGCCUUCAAACUGAAAAGUAAAUUAUUAAACUUUUCAUCAGAUAAUUUUGCAUGGUUCUUCCUUUGCCAUCCACUCUACAGGGCAGGAACUUGGUAGUUUUCUUGUAUCAUUGGGCCAUGAAAUCCCUAGAAGUGCACUGCUUAGCUUCUAUUUGCUGAGCUUUGGUGUCUGAGCACAGGAACAUACAAGACCUUAGAAUUCCUACUCUGAAUGCCUCUAACAAACUCCUAUUUAUUUGUCAAAACCCAGAUCAGAAUUAAACCAACAUUUCAUCUAUGCUACACUUGUACUAGAUACUUUAUUUACUCAUUCACUGAUUAUUUGUUGCAUGCCUAUUAUGUGAUAAGCCAAACAAGAGCAUUUUGGUUAUAUUUACAUAGUUGCUGAAAGAACGGCAGCCACUUCAACUCAAAGGGCAUUGUGACAGUUUUGUUUUUUGAGAUACAAACAUAUCUAUCUAUCUAUCUAUCUAUCUAUCUAUCUAUCUAUCAUCUACAUAGCUAUCUAUAUGUGUAUAUAGCUAUAUACCUUAUGUAUCUAUGUUUCCAUGUAUCUAUCUACAUAUUACCUGUAUCUAUUGAUUGAAUUCUAUGCUUAUUCAUGUCCACACAUCUAACAAGAAACAAACAGAUCUUCAUUAUGUUUACUGGAUGCCUGGAUGACACUUGCUUGUGUAUUUUUCUGCCUUCCUCUUCAUCCCUUCAUUUCUUUUAAAUUGAUAAUUCAGUAACAAAUGGAGAACAAUUGCCUUUUCCAGGCUCAUGUAAAGAUGAUGCCCUCUGGUGGACAGUGGUGAAGGUUACACCUUUCUCUCUCUAAUUCGGGAGGGUAUUUUGUUGUUUUUCUAAAUUUAUCUUCAGUUGGUUUUACAUUCCAAAGUGGUUAGGAUUACUUUUCAGAGUACUCAUACCUACUGUGAUGUGAAGAGUACAGAAAGGCCCUUUGAUUGAAAUAUCAAGUCUGUCUAUUCCACCAUUAGAUCAAGCCUCAGUAAUAAUCCUUUGUGGCUUUGUAGGAGGCUGCUAAUAUUUAUUAUUUUACCUCAGAGGAACAUAUUGUGAAACAUGACAAUAUUUGGAAGCACUAUUUUAUGACAAGAGAUGAGUUCAUCAGUAUCAAGAGCUCAAAAGUCCUCAGAAAUGGACAGAUCUGUCAAUAGAUGGCUUUGGGACCAUAGCUCAUCUCCAGUGGAGAGCAGCAUUGUUAUCUGACUGGAUAUCCCAGUGGUGCAAGGUGCAAGCCUUCCGUGGAGAGCUGUCUGCUGGUCACAUGCAUGCCAUCCCAACAUUGCAUUGCUGGUCACAUGCAUGCAUUCUGAGACAUUGCUGAACACCACUGAAAUGACACUGGGAAGCACCUCCCCCUUUGCAGUAACUGAGAAUGCUCAGAAGCUCCUCGAACCACAGGGUAGAAAACCUUAUCAACCAGACAAUAACUCACCACUGCUACAUCUUAACUUUGGAACAAUAAAAUUAACAAGGAAGAGUAAGGCCAGAACCAAAGGAAAAGAGGAGGGAUGUGAAGAGUACAGAGAAGAACAAGACAAGGAGAAUGCCUCAUCUGGAAUUGAGAGAAAUAAGAAUUCUAAGUGGAAACGCUGUGAGGCAAGUACAACUUGAUGUCUAUUCAGUCUACUUUAGGGAGAGAAGGUAGGAAGAUAGCUAGUUGCAAUGGGCCUCUCCCAAAUGCCAAAAUGAGUUUUUCUCUAGGACAUCAAAACUUAUAUGAUCAUUCUACUACUGGCAGUUUUUCACUCAGUCAUAGAAUGUGUUGGAGACAGAACUAUUUUGUUACAUAGAGGUACUACUGAUCCUUUUAAUAGCAUAUUCUUUAACUAGUCCUCUAGUGAUGGAUGUGAUGGUCUAGCUGGCUUACUUUUGAACAAACAAUGCUCAGUAAAUAUUCUUCUUUUUUUUUUUAAUUCAUGAUAGUCACACACACACACACAGAGAGGCAGAGACACAGGCAGAGGGAGA